GAAAUGCGAUAAGUAAUGUGAAUUGCAGAAUUCAGUGAAUCAUCGAAUCUUUGAACGCACAUUGCGCCCGCCAGUAUUCUGGCGGGCAUGCCUGUCCGAGCGUCAUUUCAACCAUCAAACCCCCGGGCUUGUGUUGGGGACCUGCGGCUGCCCGCAGGCCCUGAAAACCAGUGGCGGGCUCGCUGUCACACCGAGCGUAGUAGCAAUCACCUCGCUCAGGGCGUGCUGCGGGUUCCGGCCGUUAAACAGCCUUACAAAACCCAAGGUUGACCUCGGAUCAGGUAGGAAGACCCGCUGAACUUAAGC
rnacentral:misc_RNA from 1 species